UCGUUGUCUCCUCCUCCCCCGACUGGUUUACCCACGCUGUUACGACCCAGCCCCCUGUUCCCAUCCCUCCGACCUCUCCCCCGGUGACCCCUGACCCAACCAUGGCCAAUGACCUGUCUAGCUCGAUAUCCGCCCUCUUCUCUGCUGUUACCUCCCUGGUUAAUUCCGCGAUUCCUGCCCCGCCUCCCACUGAUUUACCUCCUCCUCCUCCACCUCCUCCCACCCUUAAUACUCACCUAUCACGCCCAUCCCAGCCGGCCCCCUGCUUUAGAGGCCCGUGCAUACCCUCCAGCUCCCGCUGAUGGGUUUUACACGGGUGGUUUCCAAG